AAUUAUCUAAACAUAAGAACCAUAAAUAAAAUAGCAUGCAAUAAUAUCAGAAAGUAACUACCAUAAAUAACUACCAUAAGAGAGACACAAUCCAAUACAAAAAUCAUCUGUUGAUAGCCCUGCCAAGCCUCACCCAACCCCGGGUGAGGAGUACGAAAAACUCUAGGGGCCCCUAUCCUACAACCCUGAUAUUAGACCUCCAGACUUUCCUAUC
rnacentral:lncRNA from 1 species